GAUGAACGCUGGCGGCGUGCUUAACACAUGCAAGUCGAGCGAGUGAGUUCUUCGGAACGAUCUAGCGGCGGACGGGUGAGUAACACGUGGGCAACCUGCCUCAUAGGGGGGAAUAGCCUCCCGAAAGGGAGAUUAAUACCGCAUAAAAUUUUAGAGUGGCAUCACAUGAUAAUCAAAGUAGUAAUCCGCUAUGAGAUGGGCGCGCGGCGCAUUAGCUAGUUGUGGAGGUAACGGCUCACCAAGGCAACGAUGCGUAGCCGACCUGAGAGGGGGAUCGGCCACAGUGGGACUGAGACACGGCCCAGACUCCUACGGGAGGCAGCAGUGGGGAAUAUUGCACAAUGGGGGAAACCCUGAUGAAGCAACGCCGCGUGAGUGAUGAAGGUCUUCGGAUUGUAAAGCUCUGUCUUUGGGGACGAUAAUGACGGUACCCAAGGAGGAAGCCACGGCUAACUACGUGCCAGCAGCCGCCGUAA
rnacentral:rRNA from 1 species